rnacentral:lncRNA from 1 species
ACAGCGAUGCUCCUCUCGAUGGUUGGCAGCAUAAGCCCUCCCAACAAGUAGUAGAUGAAUGCCUACACAUUGUAAGGCUGCUGUUUGGGAGAUGGAGGGAAGGAAAGCAGUGGCUAACCAUUAUUAAGUGGUUAGGAGCCUGUAGUUUUAGAUGCGUUUUCCUCAGGACAUCUCAACAAUUGUAGGACAUAGGUGCUGUUUCCUUUCGUUUAUAAAUGAGGGAAGUAAGGUUUAUGCCCUUCACACGGCUAAACCUGAACUCUUAACAGGGAGACUGGCUGCUCCGAACUAAAAUGAGCCUUGCUCUCAAACACCUUAAAAAUCAAACACAUGAAAUGAAUGGUCUGAUGACCAACAGGAGAGAAUGUAAGUGCCAGAAAAGUGAACAGAUCAAUAAAAGCAAAGGAGAAAAAAAAAUUAUUCAGCUCUAGUCAUUGUUGGAAGAAGAAGAAGGAAACCAGGUAAAAUUUUAAGCACAGAUAAAAGUUGGAUUUACAGUCACAGAGAUGAGAUAAUAUAGGCUGAAAAGAACAAAUGAAAUAAGCAGAACCAUGAAGAAUGGCUUGUCUUGAACUGCAAAAAGGAAAAUAAAUCAGAUUUCCCUUGCAUAGGAGGGGAUAGCCAUUCUGUAUCAACUACUUUGAAUUUUACAUAUAUCAGUAGUGUUUAUGGAUAGACAAAUUUAUGAUGAUUUUACUCUAUAAUUCUAUAUGAAGAGGUCAAUGAAAGUAGAUAAUUGUUAGGUAGCCAAAUCAUUUUUUUUUUCUUCCUUUUUAAAACUGAUAUUCCAGGGUUGUAAAUUGGCACCUGUAUGGAUAGAUUACUGUGGCCUGAGGCCUGUAGUCAUCGUUCAAGGAUUCCUGUUUGAGCUAAGGGCCCUGUGGUGAAGAACAGAGUUUGAAACAGGAUUCUUCUGGCUUUCGGGUCUUACCGAUUUGAGUCUUCCGAUUCCUGCCUUUCUAGCUUACAGAUGCAAUCAGUUCAAAAAGCUGUAAUCAGUUCAAAAUCACUUUUAAGACCCAGUGCCUAUUGGAAUCUAAAUAAUUAGCAGCUCUUAAAAGGCUCUUGUAGG